GAUGAACGCUGGCGGCGUGCCUAAUACAUGCAAGUCGAGCGAACGGACGAGAAGCUUGCUUCUCUGAUGUUAGCGGCGGACGGGUGAGUAACACGUGGAUAACCUACCUAUAAGACUGGGAUAACUUCGGGAAACCGGAGCUAAUACCGGAUAAUAUUUUGAACCGCAUGGUUCACAAGUAAAAGACGGUUUUGCUGUCACUUAUAGAUGGAUCCGCGCUGCAUUAGCUAGUUGGUAAGGUAACGGCUUACCAAGGCAACGAUGCAUAGCCGACCUGAGAGGGUGAUCGGCCACACUGGAACUGAGACACGGUCCAGACUCCUACGGGAGGCAGCAGUAGGGAAUCUUCCGCAAUGGGCGAAAGCCUGACGGAGCAACGCCGCGUGAGUGAUGAAGGUCUUCGGAUCGUAAAACUCUGUUAUUAGGGAAGAACAUAUGUGUAAGUAACUGUGCACAUCUUGACGGUACCUAAUCAGAAAGCCACGGCUAACUACGUG
rnacentral:rRNA from 1 species